GAUGAACGCUGGCGGCGUGCCUAAUACAUGCAAGUCGAGCGAACAGAUGAGGAGCUUGCUCCUCUGACGUUAGCGGCGGACGGGUGAGUAACACGUGGAUAACCUACCUAUAAGACUGGGAUAACUUCGGGAAACCGGAGCUAAUACCGGAUAAUAUAUUGAACCGCAUGGUUCAAUAGUGAAAGACGGUUUUGCUGUCACUUAUAGAUGGAUCCGCGCCGCAUUAGCUAGUUGGUAAGGUAACGGCUUACCAAGGCGACGAUGCGUAGACGACCUGAGAGGGUGAUCGGCCACACUGGAACGGAGACACGGUCCAGACUCCUACGGGAGGCAGCAGUAGGGAAUCUUCCGCAAUGGGCGAAAGCUUGACGGAGCAACGCCGCGUGAGUGAUGAAGGUCUUCGGAUCGUAAAACUCUGUUAUUAGGGAAGAACAGAUGUGUAAGUAACUAUGCCCGUCUUGACGGUACCUGAUCAGAAAGCAACGGCUAACUACGUG
rnacentral:rRNA from 1 species